rnacentral:rRNA from 1 species
UACGAACCGUCCAAACGUUAUUCGGAAUCACUGGGCUUAAAGGGUGCGCAGGCGGUGUAAUAAGUUGGAUGUGAAAUCCUCCGGCUCAACCGGAGAACUGCGUCCAAUACUGUUAUGCUUGAGGGAGAUAGAGGUAAACGGAACUGAUGGUGGAGCGGUGAAAUGCGUUGAUAUCAUCAGGAACACCAGUAGCGAAAGCGGUUUACUGGGUCUCAUCUGACGCUGAGGCACGAAAGCCAGGGUAGCGAAC